AACGAACGCUGGCGGCAGGCUUAACACAUGCAAGUCGAACGCAUCCUUCGGGGUGAGUGGCAGACGGGUGAGUAACGCGUGGGAACGUGCCCUUCAGUUCGGGAUAACCCAGGGAAACUUGGGCUAAUACCGGAUACGUGCGAGAGCAGAAAGAUUUAUCGCUGAAGGAUCGGCCCGCGGCUGAUUAGCUAGUUGGUGGGGAAAUGGCCCACCAAGGCGACGAUCAGUAGCUGGUCUGAGAGGAUGAUCAGCCACAUUGGGACUGAAACACGGCCCAAACUCCUACCGGAGGCAGCAGUGGGGAAUAUUGGACAAUGGGCGCAAGCCUGAUCCAGCCAUGCCGCAGGAGUGAUGAAGGCCUUAGGGUUGUAAAGCUCUUUCGUCCGGGACGAUAAUGACGGUACCGGAAGAAGAAGCCCCGGCUAACUUCGUGCCAGCCGCCGCCGUAA
rnacentral:rRNA from 1 species